GUAAGCUCCGGGAGUUGGUGAUGGACAGUAAAGCCUGGCGUGCUGCAGUCCAUGGGAUUGCAGAGAGUCAGACAUGGCUGAGCGAUUGAACUGAACUGAACUGAGUUAGUGGAGGGACUUAAAAGCAACAUUAUGAAAAGAGUUAUGAUCCAGAGCCAGUCUUGAGAAAACCAGCCUCAACGCAGACGUAACCUCCCUUGACUGGUUUUCUUUGUGUAACGUGGAGGGCAAGAUCCAGGAGAACCUGAAUUCACACGCAGGCAUCUCCUCCUACUGUGCCUGGUAUCACUUGUCUCCAGGGUGGAUGUUCACACAGGUUCCCCUAGAGGACGCCAAAGGGCUACAUCUGAUGGAAGAUGAAGGCUGGAAAAGUCCUUUCUUGGCCAGUUUCAGGGUCUCGAGAUGAUAUUUCCUGGAUAAUUGGAGCUGACCCUAAAUCCAAUGACAGCAGUCCUUAUAAGAGAAAGGCAGAAGGAAAAUUCGGCUCAGACAAAAGAGGGAACACAGGGAAGAGAGCCCACAUGAGGACGGAAGCAGAGACUGGAGGAUGCACCC
ensembl:lncRNA